GCCGGGCACAGUGGUGCGUGCCUGUAGUCCCAGCUACUCGGGAGGCUGAGGUGGGAGGAUCACUUGAACCCAGAGUUCUGGGCUGUAAUGCGCUAUGCCGAUCUGGUGCCUGCACUAAGUUCGGCAUCAAUAUGGUGACCUCCUGGGAGCGGGGGACCACCAGGUUGCCUAAGGAGGGGUGAACUGGCCCAGGGCGGAAACAGAGCAGGUCAAAACUCCCGUGCUGAUCAGUAGUGGGAUCGCACCUGUGAACAGCCACUGCAUUCCAGCCUGGGCAACAUAGCGAGACCCCGUCUCU
rnacentral:SRP_RNA from 1 species